rnacentral:rRNA from 1 species
AACAUUGAGCCUUGAUGUGUAGGAUAGGUGGGAGGCUUUGAAGUGUGGACGCCAGUCUGCAUGGAGCCAACCUUGAAAUACCACCCUUUAAUGUUUGAUGUUCUAACGUAGACCCGUAAUCCGGGUUGCGGACAGUGUCUGGUGGGUAGUUUGACUGGGGCGGUCUCCUCCCAAAGAGUAACGGAGGAGCACGAAGGUUAGCUAAUCCUGGUCGGACAUCAGGAGGUUAGUGCAAUGGCAUAAGCUAGCUUGACUGCGAGCGUGACGGCGCGAGCAGGUGCGAAAGCAGGUCAUAGUGAUCCGGUGGUUCUGAAUGGAAGGGCCAUCGCUCAACGGAUAAAAGGUACUCCGGGGAUAACAGGCUGAUACCGCCCAAGAGUUCAUAUCGACGGCGGUGUUUGGCACCUCGAUGUCGGCUCAUCACAUCCUGGGGCUGAAGUAGGUCCCAAGGGUAUGGCUGUUCGCCAUUUAAAGUGGUACGCGAGCUGGGUUUAGAACGUCGUGAGACAGUUCGGUCCCUAUCUGCCGUGGGCGCUGGAGAAUUGAGGGGGGCUGCUCCUAGUACGAGAGGACCGGAGUGGACGCAUCACUGGUGUUCGGGUUGUCAUGCCAAUGGCAUUGCCCGGUAGCUACAUGCGGAAGAGAUAAGUGCUGAAAGCAUCUAAGCACGAAACUUGCCCCGAGAUGAGUUCUCCCUGAGACUUUAAGUCUCCUGAAGGAACGUUGAAGACGACGACGUUGAUAGGCUGGGUGUGUAAGUGCAGCGAUGCAUUGAGCUAACCAGUACUAAUGAACCGUGAGGCUUAACCUUACAACGCCAAAGGUGUUUUG